GAAUAUUGGACAAUGGGCGAAAGCCUGAUCCAGCCAUGCCGCGUGUGUGAAGGAGGUCUUCGGAUUGUAAAGCACUUUAAGUUGGGAGGAAGGGCAGUAAGCGAAUACCUUGCUGUUUUGACGUUACCGACAGAAUAAGCCCCGGCCAAGUCUGUGCCAGCCGCCGCGGUAAUACAGAGGGUGCAAGCGUUAAUCGGAAUUACUGGGCGUAAAGCGCGCGUAGGUGGUUUGUUAAGUUGGAAGUGAAAGCCCCGGGCUCAACCUGGGAACUGCUUUCAAAACUGGCAAGCUAGAGUAUGGCAGAGGGUGGUGGAAUUUCCUGUGUAGCGGUGAAAUGCGUAGAUAUAGGAAGGAACACCAGUGGCGAAGGCGACCACCUGGGCUAAUACUGACACUGAGGUGCGAAAGCGUGGGGAGCAAACAGG
rnacentral:rRNA from 1 species